rnacentral:rRNA from 1 species
UACAGAGGUCCCAAGCGUUGUUCGGAUUCACUGGGCGUAAAGGGUGCGUAGGCGGCGUGUUAAGUCAGCUGUGAAAUCUCCAAGCUUAACUUGGAACGGUCAGCUGAUACUGAUGUGCUAGAGUGCAGAAGGGGCAAUCGGAAUUCUUGGUGUAGCGGUGAAAUGCGUAGAUAUCAAGAGGAACACCUGAGGUGAAGACGGGUUGCUGGGCUGACACUGACGCUGAGGCGCGAAAGCUAGGGUAGCAAACGGG